AAUUGAAAAUGAUACAUAGAUCUACUAAAAUGCUAGGUUUCCGUCGUCGCUCAUCUCGAUAAAAUAAGCACACGGCAGAACCUCUUCAUCCCAAGGCUGUUAUGACGUCACGAACAUUACAUCACAGUUCCUUGAAACCGUUGGGAAUUUCCAAAGUAAACAAAAGUCUUAUUGACUGUAUUCGGCUCGGAUGGUUUACAAACUGGCGUUUUAUAAUUCUUUAAUCACCAUUACUGUUCGAUACGAAUUGUUAUCGGUGAAUUUAUGUUUUUCUCAGAAGUGAUUCACCUCGAAUUUCAAAACCGGAAGCUGGAGAAGGUAUGGCGGAAUACCAGUACGGCGAUUUAGAUAGUGUAAGAUAACGAAUAAAAUGCACGACUUGGACCUGUCCAUCAUUUUGCCAGACACGGCCUCUGUAGGCAAGAGGAAGGGCGGAAAUACUUCUACAAAGCAAUUAAAACAAAAUUAUGUCAAAUAAAAGAGACGUUUGCCGCAAAUCUAGUCGAAGACCUGUGCAGACAUCGGGGUUCUUUCUUGGACAAACGGGCUGCAGAAUUAUUUGACAUCGACGGUGAUGGCAUGGUUACCCAUUUCGAAAAGCGAUUUUAUGAAUUCAACACCUGAACAUUGUAAAAAGACAAAUCACAGACAGACUGACAGAGAAGGAGAAUAUGUUUUGCUGUCGUGGAUCUUGCGAUAAAAUUUCUACCAGAUUCUUACACGUGAACGUAACAAAUGUCGUAGAUGUUGCAAGUAAUACAUAUUGCUGGUCAAUAUUUUGUACUUUGGUAAAGUUUCAACAUGUAAAAAUGUCAAUAUAACACAUUCAUCACCUGUACAGAGACUGUUAGAUACGACUAUAUGUGACGUUGUGUGAAAGUGCUGCCCUCCCACACACCUCCCCGCCUCAUCAUAUGCAGGAGUAUCAAAAUCCAAAAAGAAAGCAAAACAAAUCAAUAUGAUUUUAAAUUACAUCCUAACUGGCCGUUAAUGAAAGUACUUAGACCAUAUAUAUAGAAUCAAAAUAUGCCAAAAUAACCCUCAAUUCAGUUUUUGGAGCAAACGAGGAUAAAAAGAAGAGGACGGACCGAAAAUUAUGUUUUCAUAUACAUGUCGCCAUAUUUUCAGCUACAUGUAUUGUUUCCAAAAAUGUCAUACAAGGGACAUUUCUGAGUGAUUAAUUGAUACACAAAGAAGAUUUUUUUUCCAUAUGUUGAAGAUUUAAACUAGCAUUUCUGAAACAGUUUUUGAACAUUUUUUCGGAUUUUCAUAUUUUUUUUUCUGAUGACUUGAGGCAUGACUAAACCGACGUCACACGUAAUUCACAGUCUCAGAACAAUAUGAGCCGCGCCAUGAGAAAACCAACAUAGUGGCUUUGCGACAUGCAUGGAUCCAGACCAGCCUGCAGUCUGGUCAGGAUCCAUGCUGUCCGCUUUCAAAGCCUAUUGGAAAUAGAGAAACUGUUAUCGAACAGCAUUGAUCCUGGUCUGGAUCCAUGCUGGUCGCAAAGCCACUAUAUUGGUUUUCUCAUGGCGAGGCUCAUAUGCCACUGUGUCCUGGUUUUAGUGCUGUUCCAUAUUGUUACAUAACUUAUGUCACUUAUUCUCUAAACUUUAAGAUCAUUCAUUUUUUAUUCAAUCAUUUGUAAAUAAACAUUUUGAUAUUUAUUUCAUUUACUAUAGUUCAUAUUCUUGUAAUAUGUAUGUAGGAUCGUGGCGCGGCUGAGGUUUGGCGCCGGUAAAUUAGCUUAAACUAACAACAGAUUUUGCCACUGACGUCAUAAUGUGUUACUUCCAUGUUUGUUUUAUAUUAUUGCAUUCAGCAUAUUUAUAUUCAACAAGCGUCACGCGCAUAAUUUUACACGUGCCCCUAAUUUUCACGUGGAGAGCUGCAUUUUUGAUCGUGGCUUUUACUGUUGGACUUUUGUCAUUGUUAUUACAUUACAGUAAAUGUGAUCUGUUAUAUUUUGUGAUAAUUAACUGUGAAUGGAUGUUCAUUAUUGAUCGUGAUGUUUUAUCAUUAUUUUACAUUUUAAUUGAUAUCUACAGUAUGGGUUUAGUUUACAGUGGAAACACUGUGAUUGAGGAAUUUGCACUGUAUUGUAACUUAUUUCCGUCCAAAAUUAUCUUAAAAUUGUUUUUGUAAUAUUUUUCUGAACUUUGUGCUAGCUUUCAA